AGGGAAGGGUGGGAACGCACAGCAGCUGGGUGGGCAGAGGCAGAUGGUUCCCACACCGGGAGGCAGGGUGGUGAUGUGGAAACAGUGUGGGCUUUGGAGAGACAGACCUCAUGGAAUCCUGGCCCCGUGUGCUGGCUCUGUGACCCUGGCGGCAGCAGGUCUCUGUCUUAGGGAAAACAACACCCACCUCAGAAAAGUGACGCAGGAGGCGUGCCCAGCUCGGGAGAUUCUGGUCCACAAGCAUCACAUAGCUGUGAGGAGAGGGAGGCAGAACAGUGGCACAGAUCCAGAGGCAAGAUGAAAGAACCAGUUCUUAGAUGGAGGCCAGGGUCCCAGUCGGGAGAAGGACCAUGUCUGUCAGUAGACACAGCUCCAACACUGCCUAGCCCCUGGGCCACGUGUGCUCUGAGAACUCCUUUUUCUGCUCCACAGAAAAAAUUAACAUAAAACUGUGG